UACGGAGGGGGCUAGCGUUGUUCGGAAUUACUGGGCGUAAAGAGCGCGUAGGCGGUUUAUCAAGUUGGGAGUGAAAGCCCAGGGCUUAACCUUGGAAUUGCUUUCAAAACUGAUAGACUAGAGAGCGAUAGAGGAUGGUGGAAUUCCUAGUGUAGAGGUGAAAAUUCUUAGAUAUUAGGAGGAACACCGGUGGCGAAGGCGGCCAUCUGGGUCGUGUCUGACGCUGAGGCGCGAAAGCGUGGGGAGCAAACAGGG
rnacentral:rRNA from 1 species